rnacentral:rRNA from 1 species
UGGGGAAUUUUGGACAAUGGGCGCAAGCCUGAUCCAGCAAUGCCGCGUGCAGGAUGAAGGCCUUCGGGUUGUAAACUGCUUUUGUACGGAACGAAAAGACUCCUUCUAAUAAAGGGGGUCCAUGACGGUACCGUAAGAAUAAGCACCGGCUAACUACGUGCCAGCAGCCGCGGUAAUACGUAGGGUGCGAGCGUUAAUCGGAAUUACUGGGCGUAAAGCGUGCGCAGGCGGUUAUGUAAGACAGAUGUGAAAUCCCCGGGCUCAACCUGGGAACUGCAUUAGUGACUGCAUAGCUGGAGUACGGCAGAGGGGGAUGGAAUUCCGCGUGUAGCAGUGAAAUGCGUAGAUAUGCGGAGGAACACCGAUGGCGAAGGCAAUCCCCUGGGCCUGUACUGACGCUCAUGCACGAAAGCGUGGGGAGCAAACA